rnacentral:rRNA from 1 species
UGAGGAACAUGACCUUCGGCGGGGGAUAGCCGGCCCAACGGCCGGGUAAUACCGCGUACGACCACAUGGGGACAUCCCUGAGUGGUGAAAGCAGCAAUGCGCCGAUAGAGUGCCUCGCGGCCUAUCAGCUAGUUGGUGAGGUAACGGCUCACCAAGGCGACGACGGGUAGCCGGCCUGAGAGGGUGACCGGCCACACUGGGACUGAGACACGGUUCAGACUCCGUACGGGAGGNAGCG